ensembl:lncRNA
UCCCAAAAUCCCAAAAUCCCAAAUUCCCAAAAUCCCGAAUUCCCAAAUUCCCAAAUUCCCAAAUUCCCAAUUUUUCCCUCUGGAAUUUCCCAGAAUUUCCCAAUCCCGGGAUUUUUCCCUCUGGAAUUUCCCAAUCCCGGGGUUUUUCCCCCUGGAAUUUCCCUGUUUUCCCAAUCCCGGGGUUUUCCCCCUGGAAUUUCCCUGGAAUUUCCCAAUCCCGGGGUUUUCCCCCUGGAAUUUCCCAAUCCCGGGAUUUUUCCCUCUGGAAUUUCCCGGAAUUUCCCAAUCCCGGGAUUUUUCCCCCUGGAAUUUCCCAAUCCCGGGAUUUUUCCCCUUGGAAUUUCCCUGGAAUUUCCCAAUCCCGGGGUUUUUCCCCCUGGAAUUUCCCAAUCCCGGGAUUUUUCCCCUGGAAUUUCCCUGGAAUUUCCCAAUCCCGGGGUUUUCCCUCUGGAAUUUCCCUGUUUUCCCUGUUUUCCGUUCCCAGUGGAGACCCUGCGGCUCCUGAUUGUCCGGAGGCUCCGGCCGGGCCGGGAUCCCCGUCCCGACGAUGACGUCACCCCCACGGCCUCGCUGGCCGGAGCGGCGCUCCCGGGCUCCGGCCGGGAAUUCCCGGGCUCCAAACAGGAAUUCCCAGGGUCCGGCCGGGAUUCAGCCACAUCCAGCCGGGAAUUCCCAAUGUCCGGCCGGGAAUUCCCGGGCUCCAAACAGGAAUUCCCAAUGUCCAGCUGGGAUUCAGCCACAUCCAGCUGGGAAUUCCCGGGCUCCAAACAGGAAUUCCCGGGGUCCAAACAGGAAUUCCCAGUGUCCAGGCAGGAAUUCCCGGUGUCCGGCCGGGAUUCAGCCAUGUCCAAACAGGAAUUCCCGGUGUCCGGGCAGGAAUUCCCAGUGUCCAAACAGGAAUUGUCCAAACAGGAAUUCCCGGUGUCCGGGCAGGAAUUCCCAGUGUCCAAACAGGAAUUCCCAAUGUCCGGCCGGGAAUUCCCAAUGUCCAGCGGGGAUUUGGGAAUGUCCGGGCAGGAAUUCCCGGGCUCCGGCCAGGAAUUCCCGGUGUCCAGCCGGGAUUCAGCCACAUCCAGCCGGGAAUUCCCAAUGUCCGGCCGGGAAUUCCCAAUGUCCGGCCAGGAAUUCCCAAUGUCCAGGCAGGAAUUCCCAAUGUCCAGCCGGGAUUUGGGAAUGUCCGGCCGGGAAUUCCCAGUGUCCGGCCGGGAUUCAGCCACAUCCAGGCAGGAAUUCCCAAUGUCCAGCCGGGAUUCAGGAAUGUCCGGCCAGGAAUUCCCAAUGUCCAGUCGGGAUUCAGCCACAUCCAGGCAGGAAUUCCCAAAGUCCAGCGGGGAUUCGGGAAUGUCCAGCCGGGAAUUCCCAAAGUCCAGCCGGGAUUCAGCCGUGUCCAGUCGGAAUUUGGCCGCAUCCGGCCGGGAAUUCCCAAUGUCCGGGCAGGAAUUCCCAAAGUCCAGCCAGGAAUUCCCGGUGUCCGGCCGGGAUUCAGCCGUGUCCAGUCAAGAAUUCCCGAUGUCCGGGCAGGAAUCUCCAAAGUCCAGGCAGGAAUUCCCGAUUUCCAGACAGGAAUUCCCGGUGUCCGGCCGGGAUUCAGCCAUGUCCAGGCAGGAAUUCCCAAUGUCCAGCCAGGAAUUCCCGAUGUCCAGCCGGGAAUUCCCAAUGUCCAGUCAAGAAUUCCCAAUGUCCAGCCGGGAUUCGGGAAUGUCUGGCCGGGAUUCAGCCGUGUCCAGUCAAGAAUUCCCGAUGUCCAGUCAAGAAUUCCCGAUGUCCAGGCAGGAAUUCCCAAUGUCCAGCCGGGAUUCAGCCGUGUCCAGUCAAGAAUUCCCGAUGUCCAGCCAGGAAUUCCCGAUGUCCAGCCGGGAAUUCCCAAUGUCCAGCCGGGAUUCGGGAAUGUCCGGCCGGGAAUCCCGGGAAGAGCCGGAGCCCAGCGGGAUCCAAAUCAAGCGGAAAGGUAACGUCCGGCCGGGAAUCCCGGGAAGAGCCGGAGCCCAGCGGGAUCCAAAUCAAGCGGAAAGCGCUAAUUUGGGGCGCUAAUUAACUUCCGGUGCUGACUGGGGGUUCUGGGUGCUGAUUUUUGGUUCUAAUUAAUUUUGGGGUGCUAAUUUGGGGCACUAAUUAAUUCCCAGCGCUGAUUUGGGCUGCUAAUUAAUUUCAUGUGUUGAUUUUGGGGAUUUUUGGGUGUUAAUUGGGUUGCUAAUUAAUUAAUUAGGGAUGCUGAUGAAUUAAAUGGGGUGCUAAUUAAUUAAUUAGGGAUGCUAAUGAAUUAAAUGGGGUGCUAAUUAAUUAAUUAGGGAUGCUAAUGAAUUAAAUGGGGUGCUAAUUAUCUCAUUAAGGGUGCUAAUGAACUGAUUAGGGGUGCUAAUUAAUUGAUUAGGGUGGUAAUUAAUUAAUUGGGGUGCUAAUGAGCUAAUUGGGGUGUUAAUUAAUUAAUUGGGGUGCUAAUUACCGCAUUUUGGUGGCGGGGCUGCUCCCCCCCCCUUCCCCUCCCCCCCCUUUUUUGGGGGGGCCCAGCCCAGGAGGAGGGGCCUGAGGAGGCCACGCCCCCGAGCGGCUGCAGCCAAUCAGAGCGCGAGCUGCGGGAAG